rnacentral:rRNA from 1 species
CCAAAAUGUGGCCUUUGCCAACUUUGCAAGAAGGAGCCAGAGUCGGUGGCCCAUAUUAUGUUCAAAUGCCGCUUCACUAUCAGGGUAUGGAACUUCAUUUUCGACUGGCUGGGAUGGAAAAUUUCCACCCUUUCUUGGGCGGACUUUGAGAUGGUGAAUUAAUGGUGGAUUUCGAGCGAGGAUCGGCCAAGCUACUCCAGGAAGGCGGUCAACUACCUGCAGAUGCUCAUAUGUUGGGAGAUUUGGAAUGAAAGGAACGCCCGAGUCUUCCGCAAUAAGGCUUCCCUACCUUCGAGGGUGGCGGCAUCGAUUAAGGAUGAGGCGAAGACCUGGGUAGUUGAGGGGCUAGGUUUCUUGGGAAUAUUCUGCCGGGAGAGUGAUCCCUUUGUUCGGACUUGA